GUGGUGCCCGUGUUGGAACCCUGUGUUUGGAACCCUGGGCUGGUGUCCAGUGUUUGCAGCCUUGUGUUGAUGCCCAUGUUUGGAACUCCAUCUUUGUAACGAACUCCAGGGCAUCCAGAAACCAGCAGACUCCCAAGUGAUGGAGCCCCCAUGGCCCCGCUGGGUGUUGGAAGCUCUCUGCCACCUGACCAGGCAGGAAUGUGACACCGGAAGUUUUUCCCAUGGAGAUGGAGUCUGGGAGUGCGGGAGAAGCAGGAAAAAGCUCCACAAGCUGGACAUCCCCAUGGAAAGGCCUCCACAGCCGUCAGGGUUGGCUGCAGCCCUUCCCACCAGCCCGGAUUCUGCAGAGGUCUCUGUGUGAUCAACAGCUGGAAAGGGGCUGGGACAGGCUCCAAAACCGCUCCCAAAACUUUUGUUUUUACACAGGAGGUGCAGGCAGGAGAUCCAACCUCUUGCUUUCCAGUCUUCAGUGGAAGGGCCAUUUAUCUUCCAUCCUUCCAUCUCUUCUCAUCACCUUCUUCAUCUUCCAUCGUCCAUGUCCCUCUUUCUGCUUCCUGGUCCUUCCUGACCCCUCCUCAAUGCCGAGGCUGAAACAAGAGAAGCCCAAAAUA